rnacentral:lncRNA from 1 species
CCAGAGGAGGGGUUGUGGUCGAGGUGGUGGUGGGAGAGGUGGUGGGAGAGAUGGUGGUGGGAGAGGUGGUGGUGGGGAUUGUAGGAGAGGUGGUGGUGGGGAUUGUGGGAGAGGUGGUGGUGGGAGAGGUGGUGGGAGAGGUGGUGGUGGGGAUUAUGGGAGAGGUGGUGGUGGGCGAGCUGGUGGUGGGAGAGGUGGUGGUGGGGGUGGUGGUAGAGGUGGUAGUGAGAGAGGUGGUGGUGGGAGAGGGGAUGGUGGGGGUGGUGGUAGAGGUGGUGGGAGUGCUGGUGGUGGGAGAGGUGGUGGUGGGAGAGUUGGUGGUGGUGGUAGAGGUUGUGGGAGAGGUGGUGGUGGGAGAGCUGGUGAGAGAGGUGGUGGUGGGAGAGGGGAUGGUGGGGGUGGUGGUAGAGGUGGUGGGAGUGCUGGUGGUGGGAGAGGUGGUGGUGGGAGAGUUGGUGGUGGUGGUAGAGGUUGUGGGAGAGGUGGUGGUGGGAGAGGUGGUGGUGGGAGAGGGGAUGGUGGGACAGUCGGUAGUUGGACAGUCGGUAGUUUUAGUGACUGUAGCUGGAGUGGUAGAAGUGGUAGAAGUGGUGGGAGUGGUAGAAGUGGUGGGAGUGCUGGUGGUGGGAGAGGUGGUGGUGGGGGUGGGGGUGGUGGUAGAGGUUGUGGGAGAGGUGGUGGUGGGAGAGGGGAUGGGGAGAGUGGCAGUGGUUCCACACACUAUUGUGUAUGGAAGUGAAGAAUGUUUAGUAGUUGAAAUGUCAGUUGUUGGCAUGUCAGUUGUUGGCAUGUCAGUUGUUGGCGUCUCGGUUGUUGGCAUGUCGGUUGUUGGCAUGUCUGUUGUUGGCAUGUCGGUUGUUGGCGUGUCAGAUGUUGGCAUGUCGGUUGUUGGCGUGUCAGAUGUUGGCAUGUCGGUUGUUGGCGUGUCAGAUGUUGGCGUGUCAGAUGUUGGCAUGUCGGUUGUUGGCGUGUCAGAUGUUGGCGUGCCGGUUGAUAGCGUGCCGGUAUUUGGAGUGUCGGUAGUUGUAAAGUAGGUAGUUGGACAGUCAGUAGCUGGACAGCCAGUAGUUGGAGUGUCGGUAGUUGGAGUGUCGGUAGUUGGAGUGUCGGUUGCUGGGGUUUUGGUUGCUGGAGUGUCGGUAGCUGUAGUGUCAGAUGUUGACAUGUCGGUUGUUGGCGUGCCGGUUGUUGGAUUGUCGGUAAAUGGAGUGUCGGUAGUUGGACAGUCAGUAGUUGGAGAGUCUUUAGUUGGACAGUCAGUAGUUGGAGAGUCUUUAGUUGGACAGUCGGUAGUUGGACAGUCGGUAGUUUUAGUGACUGUAGCUGGAGUGUCGGUAGUUGGCGUGCCGGUAGUUGGCGCGUCGGUUGUUGGAGAGUCGGUAGUUGGAAAGUCAGUAAUUGGAGUGUCAGUAGUUGGACAGUCGGUAGUUGGAGAGUCGGUAGUUGGAAAGUCAGUAAUUGGAGUGUCAGUAGUUGGACAGUCGGUAGUUGGCGCGUCGGUUGUUGGAGAGUUGGUAGUUGGAAAGUCAGUAAUUGGAGUGUCAGUAGUUGGACAGUCGGUAGUUGGAGAGUCGGUAGUUGGAGAGUCGGUAGUUGGAGUAUCGAUAGUUGGAAUGUCGGUAUUUGGAAAGUCGGUAAUUGGAGUGUCAGUAGUUGGACAGUCGGUAGUUGGAGAGUCGGUAGUUGGAGAGUCGGUAGUUGGAGUAUCGAUAGUUGGAAUGUCGGUAUUUGGAAAGUCGGUAAUUGGAGUGUCUGUAGUUGGAAAGUCGGUUGGUGGAGUGCCGGUUGCUGGACUGUCGGUUGCUGGAUUGUGGGUUGCUGGAGUGUUGGUAGUUGGAGAGUUGGUAGUUGGAGGAUCAGAUGUUAAAGGGGCAGCAGUAGUUGGAGUGUCGGUAGUUGGAGUGUAAGUAGUUGGACAGUCGGUAGUUGGAGAGUAAGUAGUUGGACAGUCGGUAGUUGGAGUGUCGGUAGUUGGCGUUUCGGUAGUUGGAGUGUCGGUUGCUUGUGUGUCGGUUGCUGGAGUGUCAGUUGUUGGAAGAUCAUUAGUUUUACGGUCGGUUGGUGGAGUGUCAGUAGUUGGAUUGUCGGUAGUUGGAGUGUAUGUAAUUGGAGUGCCGGUUGCUGGACUGUCGGUUGCUGGAUUGUGGGUUGCUGGAGUGUCGGUAGCUGGAGAGUCAGUAGUUGGAGGGUCAGGUGUUAAAGGGGCAGCAGUAGUUGGAGUGUCGGUAGUUGGAGUGUAAAUAGUUGGACAGUCGGUAGUUGGAGUGUAAGUAGUUGGACAGUCGGUAGUUGGAGUGUAAGUAGUUGGCGUUUCGGUAGUUGGAGUGUUGGUUGCUGGAGUGUCGGAAGUUGGAAAGUUUGUUGCUGAAAGAUCGGUUGCUUGUGUGUCGGUUGCUGGAGUGUCAGUUGUUGGAGUGCCGGUAGUUGGAGUGUAUGUAAUUGGAGUGCCGGUUGCUGGACUGUCGGUUGCUGGAUUGUGGGUUGCUGGAGUGUCGGUAGCUGGAAAGUCAGUAGUUGGAGGGUCAGGUGUUAAAGGGGCAGCAGUAGUUGGAGUGUAAGUAGUUGGACAGUCGGUAGUUGGAGUGUCGGUAGUUGGCGUUUCGGUAGUUGGAGUGUCAGUUGCUGGAGUGUCGGUAGCUGUAGUAUCGGAAGUUGGAAAGUUUGUUGCUGGAAGAUCGGUAGCUUGUGUGUCGGUUGCUGGAGUGUCAGUUGUUGGAGUGUCGGCAAUUGGAGUGUCAGUAUUUGGAGGGGGACAAGCUGGAGUGUCAGGGGUUAUAGGGGCAGUAGUAGUUGGAGAGUCAGGGGUUAUAGGGGCAGUAGUAGUUGGAGUGUCAGGGGUUAUAGGAGCAGUAGUAGUUGGAGUGUCAGGGGUUAUAGGAGCAGUAGUAGUUGGAGUGUCAGGGGUUAUAGGAGCAGUAGUAGUUGGAGUGUCAGGGGUUAUAGGAGCAGUAGUAGUUGGAGUGUCGGGGGUUAUAGGAGCAGUAGUAGUUGGAGUGUCAGGGGUUAUAGGGGCAGUAGUAGUUGGAGUGUCGGGGGUUAUAGGGGCAGUAGUAGUUGGAGUGUCAGGGGUUAUAGGGGCAGUAGUAGUUGGAGUGUCAGGGGUUAUAGGGGCAGUAGUAGUUGGAGUGUCAGGGGUUAUAGGGGCAGUAGUAGUUGGAGUGUCAGGGGUUAUAGGGGCAGUAGUAGAUGGAGGGUCAGGGGUUAUAGGGGCAGUAGUAGUUGGAGUGUUGGGGGUUAUAGGGGCAGUAGUAGUUGGAGUGUCAGGGGUUAUAGAAGCAGUAGUAGUUGGAGGGUCAGGGGUUAUAGGGGCAGUAGUAGUUGGAGUGUCAGGGGUUAUAGAGGCAGUAGUAGUUGGAGUGUUAAGGGUUAUAGGAGCAGUAGUAGUU